UACGUAGGCCCCAAGCGUUGUCCGGAUUUAUUGGGCGUAAAGAGCUCGUAGGCGGUUCAGUAAGUCGGGUGUGAAAACUUUGGGCUUAACCCAAAGCGUGCAUCUGAUACUGCUGUGACUUGAGUUCGGUAGGGGAGUGGGGAAUUCCUAGUGUAGCGGUGAAAUGCGCAGAUAUUAGGAGGAACACCGGUGGCGAAGGCGCCACUCUGGGCCGAAACUGACGCUGAGGAGCGAAAGCAUGGGGAGCAAACAGG
rnacentral:rRNA from 1 species